rnacentral:pre_miRNA from 1 species
AGUGUGAUUGCUGGGUCAUAUGGUAAGAGUGUGUUUAAUUUUGUAAGAAACUGCCAAAUUUUCUUUCAAAGUGGCCAUACUAUUUUUUCAUUCCCACCAGCAAU